rnacentral:ncRNA from 21 species
CAGACCGAGGAGCGCUGCAACGGGCAUUGUCCCGCGAGGCUCGGCAAGGAAGGAUCGCUACAACGGCGCUCGUUCAUU